CAGUAGCCGCGGUAAAACGGAGGGUGCAAGCGUUAAUCGGAAUUACUGGGCGUAAAGCGCACGCAGGCGGUCUGACAAGUCAGAUGUGAAAUCCCCGGGCUUAACCUGGGAACUGCAUUUGAAACUGUCAGGCUGGAGUCUUGUAGAGGGGGGUGGAAUUCCAGGUGUAGCGGUGAAAUGCGUAGAGAUCUGGAGGAAUACCGGUGGCGAAGGCGGCCCCCUGGACAAAGACUGACGCUCAGGUGCGAAAGCGUGGGGAGCAAACAGGAUUAGAUACCCGCGUAGUCCCUGUCUCUUAUAA
rnacentral:rRNA from 1 species